UUAGAGUUGAUACGGAAAUUGCGGGCAGAACUUGAUAAGCUUCUCUGGAGGAAGAUUGAGGACCCAAGCUUAGACAUAUCUGCGGAGGGAAAGGGGGUUGUUUCUGCUGUGAUUGAGUUAUUGCACAGUUACAAUGUACGUUACUAAAUUUUGUUCUCAGGACAAACAUUUUUUAAUAACAGUCCUGUCAUUUGCCUAAAUUAUUUUUUAUUAUUUAAUAACCAUGUGAUAUUAAUGGAUCAGCCGUCACUUGAUGGAAGGUUUGUG
rnacentral:misc_RNA from 1 species